rnacentral:rRNA from 1 species
GUGUCAGCCGCCGCGGUAAUACGUAGGGUGCGAGCGUUGUUCGGAGUUAUUGGGCGUAAAGGGCGUGUAGGCGGCUUGAGAAGUCUGGUUUGAAAUGCACUGGCUCAACUGGUGCGCUGGGCCGGAAACUGGCAGGCUAGAGUUCAUGGGGAGGAGCUGGAAUUCCUGGUGUAGGGGUGAAAUCUGUAGAGAUCAGGAAGAACACCGGUAGCGAAGGCGGGCUUCUAUGGAUGGACUGACGCUGAGGCGCGAAAGCGUGGGGAGCAAACAGGAUUAGAUACCCUGGUAGUCCACGCUGUAAACGAUGUGCACUAGGUAUGGGGUACGAGAGGUACUCCGCGCCGGAGCGAACGCGUUAAGUGCACCGCCUGGGGAGUAUGCUCGCAAGGGUGAAACUCAAAGGAAUUGACGGGG